rnacentral:rRNA from 1 species
UACGGAGGGCGCAAGAGUUGUUCGGCAUCACUGGGCGGAAAGCGCGUGUAGGCGGCUUGGUAAGUCGGGGGUGAAAGCCCGCAGCUCAACUCCGGAACUGCACUCGAAACUGCCUCGCUCGAGUCCCGGAGAGGGUGGUGGAAUUCCCGGUGUAGAGGUGAAAUUCGUAGAUAUCGGGAGUAACACCAGUGGCGAAGGCGGCCACCUGGACGGUGACUGACGCUGAGACGCGACAGCGUGGGGCGCAAACAGG